rnacentral:SRP_RNA from 1 species
ACUUCUUGGCACACACCUGGAAUCCCAGCUACCAGGGAGGCUGAGCCUGGUGGAUGACCUUGAGCUCAGUAGUUCUGAGUUGGAGUGGGCUAUUGAUCUGAACUAAGUUUGAACUAACUGAUCUGAACUAAGUUUGAUAUCAACAAAGUGAGUUUCUGGGAGCAGGGGACCACCAGGUUGUCUAAAGAGAAGUGAUUGAAUCCAGCUUAGAAACAGAACAGGUCAAGCAAAGCUUCUGUGCCAAUCAAUAGUGGGAAUGAAUCCACUAGUAGCGCCCCUGUAUUUCCAGCUUGAGCAAGACAGAGAGACCCAGUCUUA